rnacentral:rRNA from 1 species
GAUGAACGCUGGCGGCGUGCCUAAUACAUGCAAGUCGAGCGAACAGACGAGGAGCUUGCUCCUCUGACGUUAGCGGCGGACGGGUGAGUAACACGUGGAUAACCUACCUAUAAGACUGGGAUAACUUCGGGAAACCGGAGCUAAUACCGGAUAACAUGUUGAACCGCAUGGUUCAACAGUGAAAGACGGUUUUGCUGUCACUUAUAGAUGGUUCCGCGCCGCAUUAGCUAGUUGGUAAGGUAACGGCUUACCAAGGCUACGAUGCGUAGCCGACCUGAGAGGGUGAUCGGCCACACUGGAACUGAGACACGGUCCAGACUCCUACGGGAGGCAGCAGUAGGGAAUCUUCCACAAUGGGCGAAAGCCUGACGGAGCAACGCCGCGUGAGUGAAGAAGGUCUUCGGAUCGUAAAACUCUGUUAUUAGGGAAGAACAAAUGUGUAAGUAACUAUGCACGUCUUGACGGUACCUAAUCAGAAAGCCACGGCUAACUACGUG